UCGCCUUCCCUUCCCGCCCUUCCGGAAGGGCGGGAAGGGCGGGAAAGGAAGGCGAAG
rnacentral:pre_miRNA from 1 species